UACGGAGGGUGCAGGCGUCAUCCGGAAUCACUGGGUUUAAAGGGUCCGUAGGCGGGUUUAUAAGUCAGUGGUGAAAGUCUGCAGCUCAACUGUAGAAUUGCCACUGAUACUGUUAACCUUGAGUAAUUAUGAAGUGGUUAGAAUAUGUAGUGUAGCGGUGAAAUGCAUAGAUAUUACAUAGAAUACCGAUUGCGAAGGCAGAUCACUAAUAAUUUACUGACGCUGAGGGACGAAAGCGUAGGUAGCGAACAGG
rnacentral:misc_RNA from 1 species